UACAGAGGGGGGCGAGCGUUAUUCGGAAUAUUGGGCGUAAAGGGCGCGUAGGCGGCCUUUUCAAGUGACGGGUGAAAUCCCUCGGCUUAACCGAGGAACUGCCUGUCAGACUGGAAGGCUUGAGACCGGGAGAGGUGAGUGGAAUUCCCAGUGUAGCGGUGAAAAUGCGUAGAUAUCGAGAGGAACACCUGCGGCGAAGGCGGCGCCUGGGGUCGACA
rnacentral:rRNA from 1 species